GUUCAACAAAUCUCAACCAAAUUAAUUUGCAUUCAAAUAGCCUACAUUUGGUUUAUAUUAUAGGCUACACUGCACUGUAAAAAUGACUUUAAGUUAGGUGAAUGAGUCUAACCAUAGUCUUUGGACUAACUACACAACGAAUUAGAACAACUUGAACAUGAAUAGAAAUGGAAAACUAGAAAUAAUAGGUAGCCACACAGUGUCUUUUGCUUAAUGCGCAUGCGCCAAAAUACUACGUCAUGAUGGCGCACUACUUCAUAAUUAGCAUGUUUGUGUAAUCGCGAUGCAUUCCAUGAGGGAACAAACAAGAAGAGAACAAAGGAGCGCCACGUUUGAAUGAUUACAGAUGAGACAUUUGAACUGCAGACGAUGAAUCAAGUAUUUCUUGAUAGAAGCUUUCUUUAUUCUUAAUUUAGUCUUGACAUUCGUGCGGCUUUCACCAUAACGCGCCAGUUCUUACUAUAUGAACACAGGAGGAUCAGUACAGUUUUGUUACUGGAGAUAUGUUACAGUGUGGAAACACAGACCAGUACUGAAGAGGAACAUCUCUCAGGAUUCUACAACCACGUUGCCCUGAUGAUUGAGGUAUUUUUUUCGGACUUUCCGGCCUCUUUGGAACAUUUCCGUUCACACAGACUGUGGAGAGAUGGUGUACAGCUUCAUGACAUUUGAAGUUUACUGCCGAUGGAGAGCUUCUGGGACAUUGACAGACAGCAUUAAUCCAUAAAUGUUGUCCGUGUGAUAGUUGGUAAUGCCACAGUGUUUGACUGGCUAAAAACUUUUUUUAUAUAUAUACUUAUAUACCUUACUGCAAAAGACUCUCAGUCAGAG
ensembl:lncRNA